GCUGUCCCAAGGCCUCUCUCUUGACAGGAGGGUGCCCUUUGUCACCAGCCUGAGCUCAUGAUGGGGUCACCGCCCCCUCCCCCUGCCAAAUGCACAGGUCCCCAGGCUGCACCUCUUCCUGCAUUGCCUCCCAGGGAAAGGGCUUCCUUCAGUGUACAGGGCAGCCAGUGGUAAGUGAGGCCAGUCUAGCAUCCCUCCUGAGAGGGGAUGCCACAUAGCCUCCGUCAACCACUACUAGAAUCCUAAAAUGCAUUCACACAGGAGACAAAAACAUACCCAGUCCUGACCACCCAGCCAGCGAGACAUCACACAGAUGCACCACCUUCACGCAGUGCUCAGCCAUCCUGAUGCUUCUGCUACAUCGUAGGCCACUGUCAUUGUCACCAGUGGCGACCACACCACCUUCCUCCCAAUCUAUUCUCUUUACACACAUUGGUCCUGCAUCUGGCUCCUCUAACCAUCCAGGUCACUGAGGAAGGCAGGACCGAGUUGUAGGCAUCAGCCCAUAUUGGGUCCCCCAGAGUCACUCUAUUCCACUUGGUCCCCACCAUGACACCUAUACCAGCCACACUGAUGCUGAUCCCAGCUGACGUCAGUCACAAGCCCACACAGUUAAUGCAGGCUCUCCCUCCCCCACUGUGGCUCAUAGAGAAGUUUGGGGCUAGCCUCCACCAGCCAAGUUUGAAGCAAGAAGGGAGCUAGGGCCUCCCAGGACCAAGGCGCUGUGUGGGUUGUCCCUGGUCUCCAUGUAUCUCCUUUCUGCUCUGAGCCAGGAGCUGUCUCUGCCUCCCAGGACACGUGUCUCCAAAGUGCCUGUGAGGGUGGGCUCCGCCCAGGCCCUCUGUGUCCCCUGCCCUGCCCUGGCCUGGUGAGGCCAACCUCAGGCCUACCUACCCUGGGUCCUUUCUGUGGACACAACUGACCAGGCAACUUGGCAGUUCUGGCUAUAUCCAGAUGAACCCAUAGCCCACCAGGCUCAUCCCAAUGCUAUAGGCUCUGAGAAUCAUUGAUGGGGACAAGGGUGUCACAGGCCUCAAGUCUACCAUCCUGUCUCUGUUAUCCUUAGAAGUGGGGCUAUUUCAGAGGUAUUUAAAAUGUGGGGGGUCACCAUUCUCUUUGUGAAAGGGCCAUGCCGAAGGAGCUCUCAGCACCAAAGGGACACAGCUUGGGUAGUGACUGGCCGGCACCCCUCCACCAUCUCUCACAUGUCCCAGGUUCAGUCAGGUGACCACAUGGUUUCUUUCUGUUUCAUUUUAAAGAAUCCCUGACAGCAGAGUUGGGCAGACUGAAGAACCACAUCUGGGUAAUGGACAGGAUCUAGGCAGUUGGCACAGCUUGUCUUUCUGGGGUGGGGGUGGAGGGGGUGUCCCCCUGUCAGGCUCUGUUCUGUCUUCCAGACCUCCAUGACUCCCUUGAUGGGACUUUAGAGUUUUGUAAGCCAGUCGGCCUGGUCUUUAAGUGGGGGGGAAGGAAUGAGAGGCGUCCUAAACCCAUGAGAUGUGGAGGAGGGAGCUUGGCCAAGAUCUUCCCUGCAGCAGGGGCUGGGUAGGGCGUAGAGGAGAGCCAGUGUCCCAGACCCUCCCACUCCUCCCUGGUAAGCUGCAGUCUUGGGGACUAGAGCUUUGGAAAGAGAGGCUCAGCAGCUGGGCGAGGCAACCUCCAGGUACUCAGCCCAAGGGGACACCACGACCAGGGCAGGAGGCCCCAGCUUCUGUGUUGGGCUAGGGUUCACUUCUCACAUCUCAGGGUGGCUCUGGCCCUGGGGCUAUGGGUUUGGCAUCCUGAUACCAGCAUCCUUAAUGUGUCAGCAUCUGAGAGAAGAGGCAGUGGGUCUUAAGUAUGGGGUCCGGGCUCCAAGGCCAACGCCUAGGCUUCAUGGCCAUGGCGUUUGACCUGAAGGUUAAUGGUGUGAGCAGCCCAGAUAAACUGGGCUAGCCUGGUGAGGCCAGGACGAUUUAAGAGAACUCAGUUCCAAGGGUGAACUGAAUUCUUCCUAGUGCAAUGUGGGUGCGGGGUUCCCACCCUGCCCCAGAAACAGUGCGGUACAUACAGAGCCUGUCCAAAGGAGUCCAGAGACACCUCAGUGCUCCUGGGAAGGUAUUCAGGACACCGGCUUGCCUGGAGACACAAUGCAUUCUGAAUCAGAGGUGGUGAUGUGUCCUGGACUUCUCUGGGCCCUGGUUUCCCUAGAGAGUAAGACAUGCUGGGGCCAGAGCACUGAAGAGCUAAGCUUCAUCUCUCUUGGGGGCCAGACUAGGGACUCUAUGUGUAAGGUUGAUUCUCCUUGAUUGCCAGAGGCAUGUGGGUGACAGCCAGGACUGGCUGAGCAGAUCUGCAGCAAGAGCUUAGGAUGCUGGGGCCAGACCCCCUGGGCUUGGCUUAGCUACUCAUCAGGCCUCCUGGCUGGGGCUCGAGCUUCAGAGAGCAGAGCCAACGCUGCUCUCAGGGCAGUUGUGGCUCCCUGGGCUGUCCUGGCUUUCUCCUGGGAUGUGCCUCCCAGCCUUGGUGUCUGUAAAUAGAAGCCCACACUGUACAGAUCUACAGAGAGGCCCAAACUGGGCUCUGGUGUCACCAUCUGAGGGGCUGAUGGCCUGGCUUCCCCCAGGUGCCCUGUGGGUGCUUGGGUAUGCCUGGCCCCGGCGUGGUGAAUGCAUGUAAAUACUUCGUAGACAGUGUGGCUCCAGAGAGCCCCCUGAGACAGUGUCCCCCCCACCUUACUGGUUCAUCCUCUCUCCUGUACAGAGCCCUCCCAGCCCCUGGGCCACCAGGAUCAGGGGUUACCUCCCUUCCCCAGACCUUUCCUACCCGUUCUCUCCCUAUAACCUGUUUAUUAACCAACCCUGUCCUGAGUUCAUGGCCAAAACUUAAAUAAGAGAAGGAGGAGAGGGUCAGAUGGAUAAAGAUAAAGAUACCAAGGCCUGGUCCAUCCUUACCAUGGGCGCUCGUACACCCCUGGCUUGGGAAGGACAGGGCUUGCUUUGUUUUGUUUUCUGUUAGUUUUUGUUUUUUAACAUUUCCCUGUGCUGUGCCCAUUUAUAAGAGGAAAUAAAAUUAAGC
rnacentral:lncRNA from 1 species